rnacentral:misc_RNA from 1 species
AUUCUCCGCUUUUGCUUGGAUUUUUUGUAUGCUAAAAAAUUUCAAUUUCUUCGCAUAGGAAUCAAUCCUACCCCUCCCCUAACCCUAAAAUCGCCAAUUCACUCUCGACUGAAUCGACUAAUUCUUCUAUUCGUUUCUUCGCAUAGUAAUUAUUUCACCCAAAAACCUCCAAUUGAUCGCUUCUGUAUGCUUUUCUCCUUGAUAGUUUCCUGAUUUCUUAGUUCCCUGAUAUUGAUUUGAACCCUCUCAAUAAAACACAAUGGAUGACAUGAAAGACAAGUUCAAGGGUUUCAUGAAGAAAGUGAAUACACAAUUA